GACAGAGGUGGCAAGCGUUGUUCGGAAUCACUGGGCUUAAAGCGCGUGUAGGCGGCCCGGAAAGUGUCGUGUGAAAGCCCCUGGCUCAACCAGGGAACUGCGCGGCAAACUCCCGGACUUGAGGUCGGUAGAGGUGCCUGGAACUCUCGGUGGAGCGGUGAAAUGCGUAGAUAUCGAGAGGAACGCCGGAGGCGAAAGCGGGGCACUGGGCCGAUUCUGACGCUGAGACGCGAAAGCGUGGGGAG
rnacentral:rRNA from 1 species